rnacentral:lncRNA from 10 species
CUUACCGAAGGCGGGCUCCCUGUUGUCCAAUGCGGAUCACAGGCCCACUACAUUUAGCGGAAGUGGAAAAAAAAAACACCCACGCAGCCCCACUUCGGGACACACCUGCAGCCCAGCGGACAGCCCACCAGCCUCCAAACAGUUCUGCGAAAAAUUAGGCUAUCUUUCAUUAGCUAUCUAUCAUGCGGCCUCCACCAGGCUGCAGGAUAUGAGGGCCAUUUAAUUAGGCCCUGCACCACUCUCGGGUGUGAAAAGGCUCUCAAACGCUUUGAUUCCCCGCUGCUUCGCAGCAGGAAGUUGUUGGCGAUAAUUGACAUAGGAUUUCCUUGUUAACCAGCAGCAGACACGCCGGAUUAAAGCGACAGAGAUCUCGAGAAGAAAGUGAAAGAGAUAAGAAGCUCGGAAGACUUCUGCUUAUUUGGCACUUGAGGAUGGCAGGAAACAGCAAUAACCUACUCAAGUGGCGACUCUAGAGUGGAAGGGCGUCCCCUUAUCAGACCUAUUUCAGCUUGGCUGAUCAAAGAUUGACUCCCCGCAAAAUCACAUAGGCCUGGGGUCAUUGUGAGGCUGCCUGUGAGCGCACUCAACGAGGGAGGAAAUACAGGCAAAUUAACUCUGGGGAGGACCGGGGAUGAGGGGCCUCCACGCCUUGUUCCACUUCGGAAGACGGUGCGAUCUCAUUUUGCCCUGUGCGAUUCCUUAGAAGAUACUCAGCUAGAAGAUUCCUCUGUGAGGCUGCUAGUACUUCUCCAGCAGACCAAGCCAGGAGAGCUUUCUCAAAGGUAAGCUGAUUUUCUCAACACCCGUAAUGAAAGUCAGUCACUCACAUAUAUCAGGGACUUCCUGUGUAUGUCAGGCGUGGUUUUAAGUGCUUUGUUACAUGAUCUGAUUUAAUCCUCACAGCAUCCUAUGUGCAAAACAAAUUUCCAAAACUAGAAGUCUUCAUUUACUCAUUUCUUUAAAAAUAAGCAUUUAUUAAGUGUCUCCUAUUGGUCAGGCUCUGCACUGAGUGUUGAGGAUUUGAAGGCAAAAAAAGACACUGAGUACAUGCGGGAAAAUAGGCCCGUAAGUCAGUAGAGUAGAACACAGUCAGAAGGAGGCAGGGUACUGAGUGGCUGGUGCACUGGUUUCUGAUUCAGAGGAACCUGAAUUGGGAUCCCAGCUCCAAUACUUCUAUUGAAUUUCCUUGGGCAAAAUGUGUGACUUCUCCAGGCCUUGGGUGUCUAAUCCAUAAAGUGGCAAUAAUAAUACUGAUUUUACCAGUUGCUUCAAGGAUUAAAAGACACCCACAUGUCACCCACAUAGCAAGGAGCUGACAUCUAGUAUGUACUUAAUAAAUGGUACUACCUACUCAUUAUUACUGUUCAUGCUGUAACCAUUUAGUCAAGUAUUUUAGAAUUACAAAAAAAUUUCAGAACAUGAAGUUUUCAUCUCUAACAUCAAUCUCGCUCCUUACAGAUUCUACCAGAUUUUCCAGGGGUUCUCAAAGAUUGUCUGCAAACCAGCUCUGAUAAAUGAUUGCAGCUUCUUGAGUCUAUAGAGAGAGACCUUUAUGCUCUCUCUACUAGGAAGUAAUGCUUUUUUCCCUGAGAUUAUGUUCUUUUUAAAAUUUUUAUGUGCUUUUAAAAUCUCAUGUGUGUAUUAACAUGUCCUUUCUUUAUAGAAUGUUGAAGACAAUAUAUAAAUUUCUGAAAAGAUUUGAAUGAUUUGAUUUGGCAAAAUAAAGAAUUGCCAAUCCUACAUAGAGCUCCAUACACCAAUUUUUAAAAAUAAUUUUAUUGCUUCACAAAAUCUGGGAACCACUGGAUAUAUGAAGUAUCUCUUUUAGCUAAAGCAAAGUCAACUCUCACCCUCGAAAAAAGUUCAUUUUUUGAUCUGUUUUUAUUUUUCUGUGGCAAAAAGUGCUUUUGUGAUGCCUCUAUGAAUAAAAGACUCAUUUUCCUAAGUGAUGCAUCUGCUUUUAAUGUCUUAAAUGCUGGGAUAGAACAGACAUAUCUUCCCUGGUCUGGGUUUUCUUAAAUAGCCAGAAGUCUUCGUGAUGAAGACAAGCAAGCAUCUAAUAGAGAAAUAACUCCAAGACAAAGUGCCGUGGCUGCACGAUGUCGCCUCCCUGACAACCUAUAAAUGGACCAUAUUGAUGAAGUGAACAGGACUCUCUCUGGUCAUUUUCAACUAGAAACUAAUAAUCCCCGUCAUGAUAUCAGGCAUGCAAUAACCUCGGUUAAGACUAGGUUCAUCAAAUAAAUCACUCAGGAAUUUCUCUAUUUCUUUCUCUGGACACAUUGCACAUCUGCUCAAUGAAAGGAAGAAAGAAGCAAUAUUUCUUUGAUCAGGAAUUUUUUUUUAAUAUUCUUGUAUCCAUCCCUUGGGAUACUAUCUUUUCAAGUGGGUGCAGAUAAUACAUCACUUUCUAAUGAAUGUGGAGAAUUUAUGAAUUUAAGCUAUAAAACCAAAUAUGAGGGAUUUUAGUUUAUCUCAAUCUAUAUUUUACACUGUCAUGAGAAAAUAAACCGGACCACA